rnacentral:rRNA from 1 species
GGCAAAAGCUCAAAUUUGAAAUCCUUCGGGAAUUGUAUUUUGAAGGUGGGUUUGGUUAGGAAAAGUUACUUUAAGUCCAUUGGAAAAUGGCGCCAUGGAGGGUGAUAGCCCCGUAAAAGUACCCCCUUUUCCUUUUAUCCAUUCCCUCCAAAGAGUCGAGUUGUUUGGGAAUGCAGCUCUAAGUGGGUGGUAAAUUCCAUCUAAAGCUAAAUAUUGGCGAGAGACCGAUAGCGAACAAGUACAGUGAUGGAAAGAUGAAAAGCACUUUGAAAAGAGAGUGAAAAAGUACGUGAAAUUGUUGAAAGGGAAGGGCUUGCAAGCAGACACAACCUCGGUUGGGCCAGCAUCGGAGUGGGGGGAGACAAAAAAGAAAAGGAAUGUAACUCUUUCGAGUAUUAUAGCCUUUUUCUCAUAUCUCCACCCCC